rnacentral:rRNA from 1 species
UGGGGAAUUUUCCGCAAUGGGCGAAAGCCUGACGGAGCAAUAUCGCGUGAAGGAUGAAGGCCCGUGGGUUGUAAACUUCUUUUUUUAGGGAGGAAAUUUGACGUGUACCUAAAGAAUAAGCAUCGGCUAACUCUGUGCCAGCAGCCGCGGUAAGACAGAGGAUGCAAGUGUUAUCCGGAAUUAUUGGGCGUAAAGCGUCUGUAGGUGGUUUAAUAAGUCAAAUGUUAAAUCUUAAAGCUUAACUUUAAAAUCGCAAUUGAAACUAUUAAACUAGAAUAUAGUAGAGGUAAAGGGAAUUUCCAGUGGAGCGGUGAAAUGCGUAGAUAUUGGAAGGAACACCAAUGGCGAAAGCACUUUACUUGGCUAUUUAUUGACACUCAGAGACGAAAGCUAGGGGAGCAAAUGGG